CGGGAAAAGCUCAAAUUUGUAAUCUGGCACUUUCAGUGUCCGAGUUGUAAUCUCGAGAAGUGUUUUCCGCGCCGGACCGCAUACAAGUCUGUUGGAAUACAGCGUCAUAGUGGUGAGAACCCCGUAACUGAUGCGGAUGCCCGGUGCUUUGUGAUACACUUUCGAA
rnacentral:rRNA from 1 species